rnacentral:rRNA from 1 species
GAUGAACGCUGGCGGCAUGCUUAAUACAUGCAAGUCGGGCGAGCAGACGAGCUUCUUGCGCCGCUGACGUUAGCAGCGCACGGGUGCCUACCACGUGGAUAGCCUACCUAUCUGAAUGGGAUAACUUCGAGAAACCGGACCUAAUAGCGGAAAAUAUAUUCAACCGCAUGGUUCCCUAGCGCCUGACGGUUUUGCUGUUGCGUAUAGAUGGAUCCGCGCCGCAUUAGCUAGUCGGUAAGGUAACGGCUUACCAAGGCAACGAUGCGUAGCCGACCUGAGAGGGUGAUCGGCCACACUCGGACUGAAACACGGUCCAGACUCCGACGGGAGGCAGCAGUAGGCAAUCUCGCGCAACGGGCGAGGGGAUGACGCAGCAACGCGGCGUGUGUGAUGAAGGUAUUCCGGCCGGAAAACUCUGUGAUUAGGGAAGAACAAAUGUGUAACCCACGAUGCACGCAUUGACGGUACCUAGUCAAAAAGCCACGGCUAACUCCGUG